UUAGCGCUGGUUCUCGGCAUGCGAACUGCCGAGAGGACGAGGAAGAGGUUGUCGAGCAUGUCAGCGGAUGCCUCUCGGCCGGCCCGGUCGAAAGAAAUCGGUCAAAGUCCGGAAGUGAUUCCGGUGACAAAGCCGAUG
rnacentral:ncRNA from 1 species